UGUAUUCUUCCUCAGACAGACAUGCAGGCCACAAGUUAUUGUCAAGUUCGCGUUUAGUUAGGACUGAAGAGUAAAAUAACCCAAUCAGCUUUCAAUAUUUUUGCUUGUGUUCAAUUGAAAGGCAUGUUCAGAGUGAAAUAGAUGACAUCACAAGUGACGACAGGUGGGCGCUGUACCUUGAUAAGCUGAAUGAGGCAAUAUGGCCAGGUGGAAAGCUACGAGAAGACUCAGAAAAGCCUAAAACUGAGAUAGAGAAAGAACGAACACGGAAGAAAGCUGCUCAGGCCCUCAUGGAUGCAUUCCCAGGUUUUAUUAUGCUGUUAUUUGGUUCUCGAGUUUAUCAUCAGACUGCUGUAAAUGUUAUUGACUCCAUGCAGUACCCACAAAUCAACAAGAUCUUGUUGUACACAUUGCUGGAGUUGCUGUUGUCAGAGUUUGUUCCAGAAAUCCAAGAUACCUUGCAGUUCUACAAGCACAUUACAACACAAAAGUAACUUCUAAUGGAACAAUAAUUUUUGAGAUGAAGUACCAAGGAUUGAUCAUUAUUAAUAUUAGGGUUUUAUUUAUAUUUUUGAUUAUUGUUGUUUAUGGGGAUGAGCCAAUUCAAGUAUAUUCAAGUUUAUUUCAUACUAUUCUUUAUACUAAAAAUUAAUAUAGGUAUAUUUAAAAUGGUGUCAGCUGUUGUUUCACUGGGAUUUUAUGUGUUGUAGAGGCAAACAAGCACAUGUUUUGUUGGUUGGUUGAAAUUAUUUCUUAAUGUUGAUCAACUUCUUCAGCCAAAAAUGUUGGAUCUCCCAGGAAAAUUCACUUACUCAACAAUUGCAACCACUUUUGGUGCUCUUUGACAUAGUUAAUUAUCUAGAGGGGUUUUGUUUUAAGAUAGAAUGGAAAACCCAACCAACAUAGCCAGUGUAAAAUGUUUGAUCUCAUCAGGGCAAGAUAUUAGUUAUAACAUUGCAUGUUUACACUGCAAUAAAGUGAUUCUCCAAAAUGUUGAUGUACUAAAAUAUUUGUUGUUGUAGUUCAAAAAACCCGAAAUACGUUUAUGCAUCCACCAAAAAGAAAUCAUACUGGUGUACAUAUAGUGAGCUGAAAGGAUUGCCUGAGGUAUUACACACAUUCAUGUAUGUUUCAAGUAAAUUUACCUUGAAAUUCGAUAUGAAUAACAACUUUCAGUAAUAAUGAAUUAUAAAUUAUUUAUUUUUCAAUUGAAUUGACACAUUUUAAAAAAGUUUAAUAUAAGAAGCAUUUUUGGUUUUCAUAACCACAGUUUUACCUCAGCUAUUGACGUUAUUUUCAAUUUUAAGAUGGAGAGUAUUUUUCGUUACCUGGGUUGGGCUUCUUUUUACUAUUUUUUUUUUUCACACAAACUAAAAUGAAUAUGAAUGUUCUAUACCUGGCUUGUAAUCAUUUGUUUUACUUAUUUGAUAUUUUAAGUCACUAAUCUUACAUGUUAAAAAGAUCAAGCAGAAAAUAUUUUCCGCACGUUGUUGGCUGUAGUACACCAGAAGAUAUACAUACCUCCCCCACGGAUCCCUCCACCCAUCCAGAAAUGCUACUUAAGCUGCAUACAUUUAUGUAACGAUUUUGGUGUCCCUCUGGGAAAUUGCCAAUCCCUUCUGUGGGGGNAG